CAAACAUCACACUAAAUAAUGUUGAGCUAAUAUUUUUAAGAAAACCUAUCACAUAGUAAACUUUUAAUAACUGUACAGUUUGGUUUUUUUUCCCAAUCUUCCUUUGCUCCCAAACUUACUAGCCAUGCCUUGUUACACAAUAAGUAGAAAAAAGAAAGUUAUAGAAACAGAUCAAUUUAAAAAAAAAAAAAAAACUCUCACAAAGAUGUGGAGAAAAGAUAUAAACUCCAAAAUCAAAACAAAGUAGCCUCUUAAGAUUAUCCAAGCCGGCCGCGUAGCUGAGAUUACAGGCAUGUACCACCAUGCCCGGCCCACAGAGUUUUCUCUUAAAUAAAUUUAAGUUUUAAAAAGAAGUCCAUU
rnacentral:lncRNA from 10 species